rfam:Orientia tsutsugamushi Boryong complete genome
AAAGUCCAGUUAUGGAAGGAGAAGCUAGAUCCACCAUAUAGCGAGUCUUGUGCUGCUGAAGGUAACGACAGUAGUAAAGCGUAGACAGUGAAACAUUCGAGCCGAAACCAAAUGGUGAACGUGAUAUCCCCGAAAGGCUUAUAUAGUGGAAGCCGAUAUGUUAGACUACAUAGUAGGCAAAAGAAGAUUGGAGGUCAAACUAGUAAAAAAAAACCCAAAAAUUUUCAACCACCGGGGUCGCAGGCGU